rnacentral:tRNA from 1 species
CAGGAAAUAGUUUAUAAAUAAAAUUUUAAUUUUGGAGAUUAAAGAUAAGAGAUUUCUUUUUCCUGA